GACGAACGCUGGCGGCGUGCCUAAUACAUGCAAGUCGAACGCAUUGUCUCUCAUCGUAGCUUGCUCCACCGAAAGAAAAUGGGUGAAGAACGGGUGAGUAACCCGUUGGUAACCUGCCAAUCAGCGGGGGAUAACACUAGGAAAAAGGUGCUAAUACCGCAUAAUUCCAUUUACUGCAUGGUAGAUGGAUGAAAGGCGCUUUUGCGUCACUGUCGGCUGGACCCGCGGUGCAUUAGCUAGUUGGUGGGGUAACGGCCUACCAAGGCUGCGAUGCAUCGCCGGCCGGAGAGGGUGAUCGGCCACACUGGGACUGAGACACGGCCCAGACCCCAGCGGGAGGCAACAGUAGUGAAGCUUGGGCAAUGGACGAAAGUCUGACCGAGCAACGCCGCGUGAGGGAAGAAGGGUUUCGGGUCGUAGAACGCUGUUGUUAUGAAAGAACAAGUAUGAGAGGGGAAAGUUCAUCCCUUGACGGUAGCUAACCAGAAAGCCACGGCUAACUACGUG
rnacentral:rRNA from 1 species